rnacentral:lncRNA from 1 species
GUUUUUUAAAAAAUAAGCGAUGUAUGAAGGGAGGGUAAAGGCAGGUGUUACCUCGAUAUGCAAGAGUAAGUGGGGCUUUACUUAUCUACUUUCUUGAAAAGAAGCAAAACUAAGAGUGGCAGAAAAUAAAAGGGUUGGAGGAUUUCUACACCUGGGUUGUUUUCCUGAAACGCUAUAAUUAAGGACAUUUCAACACUAUUAGGCACAAUCAUGUUAAAAAGAGUGAAAACUAAAAGCAUAUUUCUUCUAGAAAAUUCAUAUAAAUUUUCUCACAUCAAGUUCUUAUGACUGGAAAAUAGGUCAUUAUAAGGGAGAAAGAAUAAGAAGCACAGUAGGAUUUAUUUUCUCGGAAUAUUUAAGAUCUAACACACACAGGUCUCACAUCUGUGUGAAAAUUAGAUAAAAUUAACUGGUCUGGAGAGCUGGACACUGUCCUCUAAUGACUUUCCAGAAUACUAAGGUGGACUGAAUUAUUUGCUGCCCGGCAAACAUUCAUUUGAUAUCAUGAAAUAUAUAAGAUUGUUCUUCUGGUUACUUUUUACAGAUAACCAUGAGGAAGAAAGUAAAACGAAGUUAAAUCAUAGACGAAUUAUGUGAUAGAAAGCCUUGAGACUUCCAUGCAUGGAAAGAUGCUGAGCAAUUUCAAGGUAAGUCUUCUCACCACAAUUAAUAAAUCAGAACAAUCAAAUAAAAUAUACCAA